rnacentral:rRNA from 1 species
UUAAGCGACUAAGCGUACACGGUGGAUGCCCUGGCAGUCAGAGGCGAUGAAGGACGUGCUAAUCUGCGAAAAGCGUCGGUAAGGUGAUAUGAACCGUUACAGCCGGCGAUGUCCGAAUGGGGAAACCCAGUGCAAUUCGUUGCACUAUCGUUAACUGAAUACAUAGGUUAACGAGGCGAACCGGGGGAACUGAAACAUCUAAGUACCCCGAGGAAAAGAAAUCAACCGAGAUUCCCCCAGUAGCGGCGAGCGAACGGGGAGCAGCCCAGAGUCUGAAUCAGCUUGUGUGUUAGUGGAACGGUCUGGAAAGUCCGACGGUACAGGGUGAUAGUCCCGUACACCAAAAUGCACAGGCUGUGAACUCGAAGAGUAGGGCGGGACACGUGGUAUCCUGUCUGAAUAUGGGGGGACCAUCCUCCAAGGCUAAAUACUCCUGACUGACCGAUAGUGAACCAGUACCGUGAGGGAAAGGCGAAAAGAACCCCGGCGAGGGGAGUGAAAAAGAACCUGAAACCGUGUACGUACAAGCAGUGGGAGCACCUUCGGGUGUGACUGCGUACCUUUUGUAUAAUGGGUCAGCGACUUAUAUUCUGUAGCAAGGUUAACCGUAUAGGGGAGCCGCAGGGAAACCGAGUCUUAACUGGGCGUUAAGUUGCAGGGUAUAGACCCGAAACCCGGUGAUCUAGCCAUGGGCAGGUUGAAGGUUGGGUAACACUAACUGGAGGACCGAACCGACUAAUGUUGAAAAAUUAGCGGAUGACUUGUGGCUGGGGGUGAAAGGCCAAUCAAACCGGGAGAUAGCUGGUUCUCCCCGAAAGCUAUUUAGGUAGCGCCUCGUGAACUCAUCUUCGGGGGUAGAGCACUGUUUCGGCUAGGGGGUCAUCCCGACUUACCAACCCGAUGCAAACUACGAAUACCGAAGAAUGUUAUCACGGGAGACACACGGCGGGUGCUAACGUCCGUCGUGAAGAGGGAAACAACCCAGACCGCCAGCUAAGGUCCCAAAGUCAUGGUUAAGUGGGAAACGAUGUGGGAAGGCACAGACAGCCAGGAUGUUGGCUUAGAAGCAGCCAUCAUUUAAAGAAAGCGUAAUAGCUCACUGGUCGAGUCGGCCUGCGCGGAAGAUGUAACGGGGCUAAACCAUGCACCGAAGCUGCGGCAGCGACACUAUGUGUUGUUGGGUAGGGGAGCGUUCUGUAAGCCUGCGAAGGUGACCUGUGAGGGUUGCUGGAGGUAUCAGAAGUGCGAAUGCUGACAUAAGUAACGAUAAAGCGGGUGAAAAGCCCGCUCGCCGGAAGACCAAGGGUUCCUGUCCAACGUUAAUCGGGGCAGGGUGAGUCGACCCCUAAGGCGAGGCCGAAAGGCGUAGUCGAUGGGAAACAGGUUAAUAUUCCUGUACUUGGUGUUACUGCGAAGGGGGGACGGAGAAGGCUAUGUUAGCCGGGCGACGGUUGUCCCGGUUUAAGCAUGUAGGCUGAUUAUCCAGGCAAAUCCGGAUAAUCAAGGCUGAGGUGUGAUGACGAGGCACUACGGUGCUGAAGUAACAAAUGCCCUGCUUCCAGGAAAAGCCUCUAAGCAUCAGGUAACAUCAAAUCGUACCCCAAACCGACACAGGUGGUCAGGUAGAGAAUACCAAGGCGCUUGAGAGAACUCGGGUGAAGGAACUAGGCAAAAUGGUGCCGUAACUUCGGGAGAAGGCACGCUGGUGUGUAGGUGAAGUCCCUGCGGAUGGAGCUGAGACCAGUCGAAGAUACCAGCUGGCUGCAACUGUUUAUUAAAAACACAGCACUGUGCAAACACGAAAGUGGACGUAUACGGUGUGACGCCUGCCCGGUGCCGGAAGGUUAAUUGAUGGGGUUAUCCGUAAGGAGAAGCUCUUGAUCGAAGCCCCGGUAAACGGCGGCCGUAACUAUAACGGUCCUAAGGUAGCGAAAUUCCUUGUCGGGUAAGUUCCGACCUGCACGAAUGGCGUAAUGAUGGCCAGGCUGUCUCCACCCGAGACUCAGUGAAAUUGAACUCGCUGUGAAGAUGCAGUGUACCCGCGGCAAGACGGAAAGACCCCGUGAACCUUUACUAUAGCUUGACACUGAACAUUGAGCCUUGAUGUGUAGGAUAGGUGGGAGGCUUUGAAGCGUGGACGCCAGUCUGCGUGGAGCCAACCUUGAAAUACCACCCUUUAAUGUUUGAUGUUCUAACGUUGGCCCCUGACCGGGGUUGCGGACAGUGUCUGGUGGGUAGUUUGACUGGGGCGGUCUCCUCCCAAAGCGUAACGGAGGAGCACGAAGGUUAGCUAAUCCUGGUCGGACAUCAGGAGGUUAGUGCAAUGGCAUAAGCUAGCUUGACUGCGAGCGUGACGGCGCGAGCAGGUGCGAAAGCAGGUCAUAGUGAUCCGGUGGUUCUGAAUGGAAGGGCCAUCGCUCAACGGAUAAAAGGUACUCCGGGGAUAACAGGCUGAUACCGCCCAAGAGUUCAUAUCGACGGCGGUGUUUGGCACCUCGAUGUCGGCUCAUCACAUCCUGGGGCUGAAGUAGGUCCCAAGGGUAUGGCUGUUCGCCAUUUAAAGUGGUACGCGAGCUGGGUUUAGAACGUCGUGAGACAGUUCGGUCCCUAUCUGCCGUGGGCGCUGGAGAAUUGAGGGGGGCUGCUCCUAGUACGAGAGGACCGGAGUGGACGCAUCACUGGUGUUCGGGUUGUCAUGCCAAUGGCACUGCCCGGUAGCUAAAUGCGGAAGAGAUAAGUGCUGAAAGCAUCUAAGCACGAAACUUGCCCCGAGAUGAGUUCUCCCUGAGACUUUAAGUCUCCUGAAGGAACGUUAAAGACGAUGACGUUGAUAGGCCGGGUGUGUAAGCGCAGCGAUGCGUUGAGCUAACCGGUACUAAUGAACCGUGAGGCUUAACCUU